GAUCCAAUCCCAGGGAGGAUCCUGAGUAUGAAGACGGGCCAUUAGAUAUCUCAGAUUUAUCUCCUGAUUUGAAUCUCAAGUCUCCACAUAGAUCAUCCAAAUCUAUAGAUGUUAUAAGAGAGGAAGAGGAGAUCGAAGAUGAGAGAUUUGAUCAAGAAAUCAAAAUCAACGGAAACUAUCAUUGAACACUACUUAAUCUCAGUUAACCAGCAGAAUUUUAUUUAGGCUGAAUGAAUUUAUCCCAGUUAAAUAUCUUGAUAGAGUUAAUUAAUGCAUACAUACAGAGAUCACAACAUUACUUUGGAAUAGAAAGUUGACUUUAAAGAGAGUGACCGGCUAUGUAAUGUAGUUUAACUGAGUAUGCAGUGUUAUGGAAAACUUCUUUCGGAUUCA